GAGUUUGAUCCUGGCUCAGGAUGAACGCUGGCGGCGUGCUUAACACAUGCAAGUCGAACGGUAACAGGAAGAAGCUUGCUUCUUUGCUGACGAGUGGCGGACGGGUGAGUAAUUUCUGGGAAACUGCCUGAUGGAGGGGGAUAACUACUGGAAACGGUAGCUAAUACCGCAUAACGUCGCAAGACCAAAGAGGGGGACCUUCGGGCCUCUUGCCAUCGGAUGUGCCCAGAUGGGAUUAGCUUGUUGGUGGGGUAACGGCUCACCAAGGCGACGAUCCCUAGCUGGUCUGAGAGGAUGACCAGCCACACUGGAACUGAGACACGGUCCAGACUCCUACGGGAGGCAGCAGUGGGGAAUAUUGCACAAUGGGCGCAAGCCUGAUGCAGCCAUGCCGCGUGUAUGAAGAAGGCCUUCGGGUUGUAAAGUACUUUCAGCGGGGAGGAAGGGAGUAAAGUUAAUACCUUUGCUCAUUGACGUUACCCGCA
rnacentral:rRNA from 1 species